rnacentral:rRNA from 1 species
UACGUAGGGGGCAAGCGUUGUCCGGAAUCAUUGGGCGUAAAGAGCGUGUAGGCGGCCCGAUAAGUCCGCUGUGAAAGUCCAGGGCUCAACCCUGGAAUGCCGGUGGAUACUGUCGGGCUCGAAUCCGGAAGAGGUGAGUGGAAUUCCUGGUGUAGCGGUGAAAUACGUAGAUAUCUGGAGGAACACCGGUGGCGAAGGCGGCGACCUGGUCCUUAACUGACGCUGAGGCGCGAAAGCGUGGGGAGCAAACAGG